rnacentral:sRNA from 1 species
CCAGAGGAGAUGAUUUGCUUGAGGAGUCUUUGAUCAUGACAAUGCUUUUUUAACCUCUGAUGUAACU